rnacentral:rRNA from 1 species
GACGAACGCUGGCGGCGCGCCUAACACAUGCAAGUCGAACGGAAGCGAGAGGAGCUUGCUCUUCUUGCUUUAGUGGCGGACGGGUGAGUAACACGUGAGCAACCUGCCUUUCAGAGGGGGAUAACGUUUGGAAACGAACGCUAAUACCGCAUGACAUCACGAGAGGACAUCCUCUUGUGAUCAAAGGAGCAAUCCGCUGAAAGAUGGGCUCGCGUCCGAUUAGAUAGUUGGCGGGGUAACGGCCCACCAAGUCGACGAUCGGUAGCCGGACUGAGAGGUUGAACGGCCACAUUGGGACUGAGACACGGCCCAGACUCCUACGGGAGGCAGCAGUGGGGAAUAUUGGUCAAUGGGGGAAACCCUGAACCAGCGACGCCGCGUGAGGGAAGAAGGUCUUCGGGAUUGUAAACCUCUAGUCUUCAGGGACGAACGAAUGACGGUACCUGAGGAGGAAGCCACGGCUAACUACGUG